GGGUGACGGCCACUGUCCUAAGGGGAGGUCAAUGACAGCCAAAAAUGUGUGUUUAGGAACUGGAGAGAGGGCUGAGCUGGAAGAGUACUUGCCUGGCAUACAGAAGAUGCUAGAUUCCACCCCUAGCACUGCAGAAACCAGACAUGGUAAAUUCCAGAUAUAAAUUUAAGUAAACGUAUGCCUGUAAUCCCAGGGCUCUGGAGGUAGAGGCAAGAGAAUAAAGACUCAACCUCAUCAUCAGCUACACAGAAACAUUGAAACUAACCUGAACUAUGUGAGACCCAAAAGAAAAAGAAAUAACACAUGUCAAAUAGGUCUGAAGUAUGGCAUUCUUUUGCAUACCUCCGAAAAGAAUACUUGAAAUCAAGUUGUGUCAGCGAGGAAUUU